rnacentral:rRNA from 1 species
AGGGAAAGGUGAAAAGAACCCCGGGAGGGGAGUGAAAUAGUACCUGAAACCGUAUGUCUACAAGCAGUCGAAGCGAAAGCGACGGCGUGCCUAUUGAAGAAUGAACCAACGAGUUAUCUGCACUAGCGAGGUUAAGUGGAAGACACGGAGCCGCAGCGAAAGCGAGUCUUAAGAGGGCGCAAGUUAGUGUAGGUAGACCCGAAACCGCAGUGAUCUACCCAUGUCCAGGUUGAAGCGCAGGUAAAAUUGCGUGGAGGACCGAACCGGUGAGCGUUGAAAAGCUUUCGGAUGAGAUGUGGGUAGGGGUGAAAUUCCAAUCGAACGCGGAGAUAGCUGGUUCUCCCCGAAAUAGCUUUAGGGCUAGCCUGAGGUAGUAAGUAUAGGCGGUAGAGCACUGAUCGGGCUAGGGGCCGUAAAGGUUACCGAACCCUGUCAAACUCCGAAUGGAUAUACUGUAGAGCCUUGGAGUCAGACUACGAGUGAUAAGAUCCGUGGUCAAAAGGGAAACAGCCCAGACCACCAGCUAAGGUCCCCAAUGUCGUACUAAGUGGAAAAGGAUGUGGGGUUUCAUAAACAACCAGGAUGUUGGCUCAGAAGCAGCCACCAUUUAAAGAGUGCGUAAUAGCUCACUGGUCGAGAGACCCUGCGCCGAAGAUUCCCGGGGCUAAAGUACGAAACCGAAGCUGUGGCUGUAUACGUAAAGUAUACGGGGUAGGGGAGCGUUCCCAUAGGGUAGAAGUCGAACUGGAAGGUUCGGUGGACUUGUGGGAAGUGAGAAUGUUGGUAUGAGUAGCGAAAAGAAAGGUGAGAAUCCUUUCCACCGAAAGCAUAAGGAUUCCUGAGCAACGAUCGUCGUCUCAGGGUAAGUCGGGACCUAAUCCGAGGCAGAGAGCGUAGGAGAUGGACAACUGGUUGAUAUUCCAGUACCGGUAGUAAUUGUUUGAGCAAUGGAGUGACACAGAAGGGCAGGCAAGCAUGCGAAUGGAAGAGCAUGUGUAAGCGUGUAGGGUGGUGCAUAGGCAAAUCCGUGCACUGAAAGCCUGAGGCGUGAUGCGGAGUGAGCAGAGAUGCGAGCGAAGUUGUUGACCCCACACUGUCGAGAAAAGCUUCUAGUGAGAGAGCUACCGCCCGUACCGUAAACCGACACAGGUAUGCGGGGAGAGAAUCCUAAGGUGCGCGGGAGAACCCUCGUUAAGGAACUCGGCAAAAUGUACCCGUAACUUCGGGAUAAGGGUAGCCACUGUUGUGAAGUCCCAUGCGGAUGGAGCAUAGAGUGGUCGCAGAGAAGAGGCCCAAGCGACUGUUUACCAUAAACACAGGUGCCUGCUAAAGCGAAAGCUGACGUAUAGGUGCUGACACCUGCCCAGUGCCGGAAGGUUAAGGAAGGAUGUUCGGAUUAGUCCAAAGCAUUCGACUGAAGCCCCGGUGAACGGCGGCCGUAACUAUAACGGUCCUAAGGUAGCGAAAUUCCUUGUCGGGUAAGUUCCGACCCGCACGAAAGGUGUAACGAUUUGGGCACUGUCUCAACGAGGGACCCGGUGAAAUUGAAAUACCUGUGAAGAUGCAGGUUACCCGCGACUGGACAGAAAGACCCCAUGGAGCUUUACUGUAACCUGACAUUGGGUUUUGAUACAUUACGUACAGGAUAGGUGGGAGGCAUGGAAAGCUGGACGCUAGUCUGGCUGGAGCCGACGUUGGGAUACCACCCUUGAUGUAUUGAAAUUCUAACCGCGAGAGUAACGAAAUCCGGGACAGUGUCAGGCGGGCAGUUUGACUGGGGCGGUCGCCUCCGAAAGAGUAACGGAGGCGCCCAAAGGUUCCCUCAGCGCGGCCGGAAAUCGCGCGAAGAGUGUAAAGGCAGAAGGGAGCUUGACUGCGAGUCAAACACGACGAGCAGGUACGAAAGUAGGGCUUAGUGAUCCGGUGGUACCGAGUGGAAGGGCCAUCGCUCAACGGAUAAAAGCUACCCUGGGGAUAACAGGCUAAUCUCUCCCAAGAGUCCAUAUCGACGGGGAGGUUUGGCACCUCGAUGUCGGCUCAUCACAUCCUGGGGCUGAAGUCGGUCCCAAGGGUUGGGCUGUUCGCCCAUUAAAGUGGUACGUGAGCUGGGUUCAGAACGUCGUGAGACAGUUCGGUCCCUAUCCAUCGCGGGCGCAAGAGAUUUGAAGGGGGCUGCUCCUAGUACGAGAGGACCGGAGUGGACGAACCGCUGGUGUACCAAUUAUCCCGCCAGGGGUACAGUUGGGUAGCUACGUUCGGAAAGGAUAAACGCUGAAAGCAUCUAAGCGUGAAACCAGCCUUAAGAUGAGAUCUCUCAUAGAGCAAUCUAGU